GUAGUCCACGCCGUAAACGAUGGAUGCUUGUCGUUGGAGGAAUAAACCCUUUCAGUGACGAAGCUAACGCGUUAAGCAUCCCGCCUGGGGAGUACGGUCGCAAGAUUAAAACUCAAAGAAAUUGACGGGGACCCGCACAAGCAGUGGAGCAUGUGGUUUAAUUCGACGCAACGCGAAGAACCUUAUCCUGGUCUUGACAUCCUUUGACCGCUGGUGAAAGCCAGUUUCCCCGCAAGGGGCAAAGAGACAGGUGCUGCAUGGCUGUCGUCAGCUCGUGUCGUGAGAUGUUGGGUUAAGUCCCGUAACGAGCGCAACCCACGCCUCUUGUUGCCAUCAUUAAGUUGGGCACUCUAGAGGGACUGCCAGUGUGAAACUGGA
rnacentral:rRNA from 1 species